rnacentral:tRNA from 1 species
GCUCUGGUAGUGUAGAGGCCUAGCAUGGGGCCCUGUCGAGGCUCCGACCCGGGUUCGAAUCCCGGCCAGAGCG